GGUACUCUAUCCUCCACAUGUGUGCUGUAGCAAGUAUGCUGCCACAUGCAUGUACAUAUAGGCAAGAAUAAUAAAUACAAGAAGAUUGGUUUAAACAAAAGUGGUAGCAGAGGGAAAACAGAUGAGCUACUGGGUUUAUUUGAAAGCAUUGCUAGCUGGCAGGACUUGAUACUUGAUGGAUAUAGGUUCUGAGGGGGUGAGGAUAAAGAUGAAUCUGUCUUUUGAUUGAACAACUCCAAGAUGGCUCAUCACUGUUAGAGAGGAAACAAGGGGUAAUUUGCAGAGUAAAAUCAAGAGUUGUUUUUUUUUUUUAACUUGGUUUAUGGUGCAGAGCAUUAAACUGAUAACCUUGUACAUGCUAGACAAGUACUACACUCCUAUCCUAGCCUCUGAGAAUUUGAUUCUAUCAGGGUUAGAAAGAAUAGAGAGGAAGUACACAGUUACACACAUGUGUAAGGAGUGGAUGAAGAGUUAAGACGGGAAUAUAGCUAGUGGUAGCCUGCUUCUGACCUAGCUUGCUGGCAUGGACAGGGCUUCAGGUUCAGAUUCCAGUAGCAGGGUAAAGGAGCGUUUGAUGUAGUUGCAUUUGCCAUGCUCAUACACCUGUAAGUCCAGGAAAAGAGGGUCACAAGUCUCAACCAAAUGGCACAUUGGAAGUCAGCCAGGAUUCUUUGCGACUCUGCCUCCAAAACAAACAAGCAAACAAACAAACAAACACACAAAAAAAACCAUUUCAAAGGCAGAACACUAGGGCACUCAGGCAUGCAGAGGAUGAGGAAAUAAAACUAACAAAGAAAGAUCCCGGUGGUCUGCUUUCAGAGGUGUUGGGUGGAGACUGCAGAAGGAAGGAGUGGUCCCCUAUUUCAAAGAAUCUGAAGUCCCUGUGGGACAGUUUGUUCAAGGAAAACUAGGAAAGGAGAAUUUUGUUUGUGUUGAUUCUUAGAACCAUUUAAUAAGAUUACAGAUUUAAGUUUUAGGUCCCUCUACCCUUUGUACUAUUUUAACAUAGAAUUAGACCAUUAUAGCUAAUGCCCCAGUGGCAGAAGAUCCAUUCUGUCUGGCAGUGAGCUAUUGGCACUACUGAAUUUCUAAUUAUCAGUAACCUUUUGACAGUUACCAGGUAGGAAUUGUGACCCUUCAUUGUGGAUGUAACGGUCUUACUAAAUAAGAAACACAGAGCCAAAUGCAGAGUUAAAAGCCCAAGAGGUCAGAGCAGUAGCUAAGAGCUGAGACUAAAACCCUUUCUUACCCCUCACUGCUGCCGCUGCCGUCCUUCCCCUCUGAAAGAGACCUACUUCCUGUGUAUCUGUCUUUUUAUUGACUUUCUGUUCUGCCUUCUCAUUGGUUGUAAGCCCAACCAUAUGACCUCCUCGACACUGCCUGUCUAUACAGACCUGCAGGUCUCUAUGGUUGGUAUUGAGAUUAAAGGCGUGUGUCUCCAUGCUGGUGGUGUCCUUGAACACACAGAGAUCUGCCUGUCAUGUGAUUGGGAUUAAGGGUGUGUGCUACCACUGCCAGACUUCUGCUAUGGCUUGCUAUUAGCUCUGACCCCCAGGCACUUUCAUUUAUUAACAUACAAAUAAAAUAUCACCAUGCUUCAUUCCAUUUGUGAGACUAUGGUACCAGCCCUUUGGCUGUAAACUAAGAAUACAAAUGUCCACAUUAACCAUUGUUUGGGUAUUUAAGAAUAUAAAUGUAUAUCUGAACUAAUUAAGGUAUUUUUUUUUUAGGAAUAUGAAGCCAUCUACUUAGCAAAAUUAACAAUACAGAUGAUGUCACCACUCCAGAUAGAAAGGUCCUUAUCUGUUCAUUCUGGUACCACAGGUAGUUUGAAGAGAACACAUGAAGAAGAGGAUGAUUUUGGAAACAUGCAAGUGGCAGCAGCACAGAAUGGCUGACCUCUGAGGACUGUUCCACAGAUGUGAAUUUCUAUUUGGAAAGGAGAGAAUCCUAGUGAUAAUUGUAAAGUGGUAAAAACACAAAUAGUUUCUUUUCAAUUAUAUGUUGCUUCCAGACAUGUUUCUCUGCAACUUGUUGAGCAACACUUUAAGAUGUUGGACUUCUACAGUAGAUGGCGCUGAUGGGUGAUGGGUUUACUUUACAAACAAAACAAAACAAAAAAACCACUUUACGGUUUUAUUGUAAACCAAGAAUUUGGACUUGCAAAGAGGUAUUAUUGCAAUAAUGCACUUUUCAUACUUGAAAUUUAUUUGUAUGAUAUAAAGUUAUUACUUAGAGCAAAAUGCAAGUUAGGGGGACUUGUUUAUAAAUUUUGGAUAAUUUAUAACAAAUUUCCUAAUGUUUCCUAAAAACUCAUUUUGUGUUAUAUAUAUUACAUUUAAAGUAAUUUUACAGUUCAAUUUUCUGAUGGAGCCUCUUACAGAAACAUUAACAAAAUGUAGAACUCUUUCACAUUUUUUAAUAUAAUUCAGUAACUUAUUUACCAUUUUUUGAAAUUUCUUAGUCCCUUACUUUUAAAUCAUGACUUUCGCCAACUAUCCUACUUUACUAAUCCAAUGAAUACCUCCUUUCCACUUGCCUUCCUUAUUCUAAACAAGAAAAAAAAGUUGUAAUGAUCAAAGAAAGAGGUCUUACUUUCCAAAACCAGAUACUCAAAUAUAAGGGUAGUGUUCUAUUUCCAUCUCCAUUUUUUUCUUUUUGUUGUUUGUUUAAGCCAAAUGUUGACUCGGUCUUUUCAAAGUUGCCUAGCCCUUUUUACCUAUGUCUAAAAUGGUUCAAAGUAGACUCUUAAGAAACCAAACCAAUGUAGCACUGUUUCUUCAAUAUGAAACCCCCAAAAGAAAAGUGCCUUGAAUCAACAAUUAAAUCCUCAUGACCUCUAAAUUAGUAUCUAGAGCAGUGAAAAGCUAUUAACAUUUUCUGUAAUCUGUUUUUAAACCAUAAAUUAAACUGAAUCUGUGAAGCUUGAAGAAAGUCAAUGAUUUGGAAGGAGACAUUUAUUUCUUCAUUUCAUGUUGUCUUGCUUCUGUGAGGUUGUUCAGCUGACAGCUUUGCUUAGGAGAUUCAUUGGAUAAAGCAGUUUGUGGAUGGCUUCAGGGUAUUGUAAAUUACUGUUUUGACUUGUUCUUAAAUUCAUUCAAGUUUACCCCAUAAUUUGCAUUAGCUAAGUAACUUUAUGGCUCUUUAGUUUUCCAUGUUUUUAUCUAUAUGUAUAAAAGUUGUUCUACAAACCCCAUUUUGCUAUUUUAAGUGUGAUGUGCAGAAGAGAGAAGUGUUUUUAACUUUUUGUAUCUGAUGACUUUAGGGUAGCACAAACCUAGCUCCUUUAUAGUUGACAUUUCUCAGUCCUCUCUGGAGGUGCUUUCCUGUUGGGACUGAGAGCUGUCCAUUUCCAGGGUACCGUGAGACACUGUGCAGGCAGCCUGUCAGACUUAGUUACUGUAACAGUACAGAGAAGGCUCUGUCCUGCACAGUGGGAGCCUGACUAUAAACCAGAGUUACUCUUUACUAGAGGAAAUUCCUCUUCGGAGUUUGCAUCCCAUCUCCUACCUUUCCCCCCAAAACCAGCAUUGGGAUCCACUAUUCUGUUGUGUCACUGGUGUGCUGGGCUAGUGGAGUCAGGAUUACAUUCGGCGUUCAAAACUUCCUAUGUACUCACCAUCACUGGACAGGUCAACAAAAGAUCUCUCUUGCAGUCAACUCAUAAUCUAUGACUCACUGAACAGAGAUUGUGCUUCAAGUCAUCUCCAUAUAAAAUGACUUUUCAAGAUGAGACAUUUGAAAUAUUCUUAAGUUUCAUAAAAAUACAUACUCUUCUUUAGGAGUCUGGCCAAAAUUACAGAGUAGGCUAUUGAUAGUCAUUUGUAGCUGGUAAUCUUCCAUUUUUCUAACCAGUCAUUUUUAUGUUCUCACGUGAAGUGCCUAUCCAGCACGAUAUACUGGAGAUAGUCUCAGACAUUGGGACUGCCAUCAUGUUGAGCACAGUUGAUGUGAACAGUGAGGUUCCUUCUUUCCUAAGAAGCCUGCAAGUUUCUUGUUUUCUUCCACUGUGUUUACUAAGUAGCUGUCUUAGGUUCCGUUUCCAGUGAUGUUUUGUACCAGCCAACUGUGAUAAACUUAACCAAUCAUGUCUUGUUCUCUAGAACUGAAUAAUGAAUGUCCACCCAGUUUCAGCAGUAAAUUUGUAAUCUGGGUUCAGAAUUAAAAGUACAUUCUUAUCAAAACAUAGGGAACUUCAUUAUCCUCAUUUUGAAAGUUUUGAGAUAGAUACUGGAAACUUUGGAGUGGGGGUGGGUCUUCUCUUAGUUUCACUGGUUCCUGUUAAUUUCUUGUCUAGUAGAUGUUGACUUGUACCAACUCUGUGGUAGGAAUGUUCAAGUGUGAUAGCUUUGCUAUGAACUUUCAACCACUAGUAGGGCAGAAAAUUCAUUUGCAGGGGUAUGGGGUUGUGCUUAAUCUGAGUCUAGAAGUAAUGUCAGAAAAUGCUAAGCAUGUCCUUUGUAAGAAAACAUAAGGUUCCUAAUUGUUUAAUUACUAUGGUAAUUCAAACUAAUUAGAAGUUUUUAAGUGCAAUCUUGAAUUAUGAAGUUGAGAUGUAUAUAUUAGGAUCUCAAUUUGAUGUAAAGUAAAUGAGCAGUUACCUGACGGAUUUUUCUUUUAAACUGGUUUAAUCCAUGAGCCUAAAGCAUAGCUUCACUUCAGUAUUUACGUUAUCUUUGUCCAUUCAACAACACUCCAAUAAGGAAAUGAUAGGAAAUAGCUGAGUCUUACUCAAGGAUUUUAUUUAUUUUUUUAAUUAGGAAAAUAAGUUUCUAGAGUCUUGAGUGCUGGGUAUUCUUUGUCUUUCCCAUUCAUGGCAGCUAAAGAAAAAAAAGAAUCACUCAAAAUAUUCAGGUUUACAUGUUAAGCUCUCUCACAGGGAGCUGCCAUACCUCACAGUUCAAAGUGUUUUUUCAAUCAAUAACAUGAUACUGACAUGUAAUUGCAAAAAUGAUUCAAGAAAAAUAACAUACAGUGUCUCUUUACCUCUGUAUAGGCAAUGGCUUACGUUACUCUGCUUUUAACAUUUGUACUCAGAUGAAAUGCUUCUGUAUGUAUAGGAAUGUCACAGAUGCAAGAUGCUGCUAGCCUGGGCACAAAGUAUUAAAAUUAUUUUGUGAAGA